CCUCUUCCUGUGCGUCGCCCGCCGCUGCCGCUGCCGCCGCCGUCUUCCCGUACGGCUGCAGGACCACAUCUCGUCGCCGGCCAUGGCCUCCCGAGUGGCCGUCACGCCUCCCGUGCAGCCGCCACCGUCGCGGCUCCCACGCACCGCCGAGCAAGUCACCAUCUCCACGCGCCGCCACGCAGCCGGCCGCGGAGCGCGUGCGCCGCUGGGCACGCCGCCAUCUCCACACACCAUCUCCAUCGGAGUUGGAGAAAAGGUAAUUUAUUUUUUAAAAUGUUGAUGCUGGUUCAAAAAAUGUUGGAUUCAGAUCGUCCAAAUGUUAAAAUAGGAGGUGAAAAAUGUUAAAUGUAGUAUUUUCUAUAUAAAAUAUUGCUCUCUAUUUUAGAAAAUGUUGAAUCGGUAUUUUUAGAUAUUGGUUCAACUUUUAGAAAAUAUUAAAUGUGAUUUGUUAGAAUGUUAAAUCUUGUUCUUUGAAAUGUUGAUUUGGACUUUUAAUUGGGUCCGCCUUGAGCCGCCGAGCCGAGCGAGCGAGCAAGCAGCUGCUGUGCACACAGCGCUUGUGCGUGCGUGUGCGCGACUCGCUGCUGGUGGUGGUUGAGUUGGGAGGAAGGACAAGAACAAAGAAAAACACGAGAACCAAGCUCCCAACUUCAAACCCAAAAUACUCCCUUAAAAUUCCGUGGAUUCAAACGGAACUUGAGCCAUAAAAGCAUCUGGAAUAGAUCAAGAAAAAGAUCACGAAAAUCUCAAAUAUUCAUUGCGGAUUUUGGAGAAAACCGAACACCCUGAAAAAAAAGGAUGGUUUAGGAAAAAUUUCAAAUUCAAGCUGAAUUCACGAUGGAUUUGAAGGGGGUCACAAUAAAGUUGCUCAUAAGAACCCUAGCAACAAAAGUUCCCAACAAAUCUCACGAAAAUCCAAACGCGAAGAACAAAAAAUCCCCCAAAAAUCUCAAAAAAUCCCGAAAAAGAUAAACUUCAGAUCUUGUGAAGAUGGAACAAGUUGGCACGUGACCUUUAAAUUACUCCACCAUGUCCGGUUACAAGUCACUCCUAGCCAAACACAAAGCUAUGAUGGCAAAAAACUCAAGAACAUGAUCCUCUCAUCACUCUCCCUCUCUCACUUACCAAAGGCUCUCACCUACACAAAUGAGAAGCUCACCCAAAAAGGUGGCUGCUCCAACAGCCACUCCUCAUAUAUCUGCGCAUUUGGCAAAUAUCCAAAAUACCCUUACAUGAAGCAUUCAACCCAAAUACCCUGUAGGGGUAAAACCAUCCAACUUUUUCUUGGUACAUCGAAUGGACUCAGCACCUUCAUGACUUCGCUUCACCUCCACGCGAGUUUCAUGAUUGUGCCACGUGUCCUCCAACUUGAUGCCGUACGACCACACCGGACUCACCCUGGUGCACCUUUGCCCGCAGCGCCGUCGCCCACCGCGGCACCGGCCACCGCUCCUACCCUUAGAUUUGACGUGAUAGCUUGGAAAUGGAGGAGUUGGGCUUGGGCCUCUUGUGCUGAGGAAAUGAGUGUGGGGAUGAGGAUAAGGUUACGGAUAGUUAAGACCUUUUCCGCUCCUCUGAAUAUUUGUUUUCAUUUUUUUUGGUUUAAUGCUGCUCCAACUAACAGAAUGAAAAGUAGGGGUAAACGGUAACUUCAACUCCAAAAAGUGGGGGUGAAUCUACAAAGUUAAAAAAGAGAGGGUAAAAUCACAAUUAACCUUUGGAGUAGGAGCAAGAACACCAAAAUCCCAAAACCAUAUAUGUUGCAAGGGCCAUUUACAUGCCACAUCCACAUGUAAAGUGGCUGGUUGUUUUUUCCCUGCAGAACGAGUUGGUCUUGCAUACUGGCUCGUCACUACAGCACAACUACGCGAAAUGGAUCGGCGACGAGCUCAGUGAGGCGGUCUUUGUGACUCAACCAAACAAUGCCUUAGGCGAGGCGUCAACGUCGUUGACGAGAAAUUUGGAUUAUAUUCUUUUGUCACUCUUUUAUAAAGACUGAGCUUUCGCAUAUUUGGUGAAUAUUUGGUGAGAAAUGACAGAUAAUUAUUGUUUGCGGGAUUAAUAAUAAUAUUAAUUAAUAAAAACGCAGUGUACUGCCAAAGUGCCAAGUUGAUGUUGAUGCUCAACCAAGGGAUGACAAGGACAAAUAGAUGUCACACAUCGUACGUAUCCAUGGUGCUGCCUAGCUUCUGAUUCGUUGCUUGCUCAUCUGCACACUCUUCGCCCUUCCAUGGUGGGUAGGUAAUGUAUAGUGACAUCGUCAUCACUAACGCGGUGUGGGCCCAUGGAGCUAGACGACGGCCGGGAAGGGGUUGAGGCGAGGCGUGGGGCGGAGCAGGAGCGGGUGCUUGCGAGCGCACACCAGGCCGUCCGACUCAUCCAUGUCUAUCGGCAUGCCCUUGACCCCGUCGUCGUCGCCGCCGCCAGCGGUGGCCCAGUCGAAGCACUGCACGAGCGCCGCCAGCACGGCCGGCACGGACUGCAGCGCGAGGCCCAUGCCGGGGCAUCCGCGGCGGCCGCUGCCGAAGGGCAUGAAGUGGAAGUGCUGCCCGCGGGGCUCCAGGCUCUCGGCGGCGCCGCCAGGCAUGAACCGCUCCGGGCGGAACGCCAGGGGCUCCUCCCAGAAUGCCGGGUCGCGGCCGAUGGCCCAGAUGUUGAUGAACACGGCGGUCUGCGGCGGCACGGUGAACCCUCGGAGCUGCAUCUCCUCCGACGACUGGCGGUGCGCGAUGGGCGCCGCCGGGUGCAGCCGCAGCGUCUCCUUGUACGCCGCAAUCAGGUAUGGCAGCCGCGGCAGGUCCGCCUCGCCGGCGAUCCGGUCCCCGCCGACGACGGCGUCGAUCUCCGCCACCACGUUGCGCAGGGCCUCCGGGUGGUUCAUCAAUUCCGCCAGCAUCCACUCCACCAUGGCCGCCGACGUGUCCGAACCAGCAGUGACCACGUCGAUGAUGAAGGCCUUGAUGUUGUCCCGUGUGAGCUUGACCUCCGCCGUCUUGUCCUCGGCUUUGUCCAUGAGGAUGUCAAGCAGGUCCUUGUGCAUCGUCGCCGUCGCGGCCUCCUUCUUCCUGCCGUCGUCGCCGUCGUCGUCGAGCAUGAGGAGUUUCCUCGCCUCCCUGGCGUCCUCCUUGUGCCUGAGUAUCUCCUCGAGCAGCGCGUCGAAGCGGCGGUGGACGGCGGCGGCUCGCCGGCGGAGGCCCUGCAGGUCCCAGCCGCGGCAGAGGGCGAUGUAGUCGUCGGCGUUGAAGGCGCCGACGAGCUCCGCCACGUCCUUGACGAGCUCCUGCGCCUCGUCCGCGACGCUCCCCGGCACGGUGCUGGCGACCAUGCGGAUGAUGGAGGUGUUGGAGAGGCGGAUGAGCUCGCGGGUGAGGUCGAAGGGUUCGGCCGCCGGCGAGGAGGCCGCCGCCAGCGCGGCCCGCAGCAGGGACACGGUGCCGGCGCGACGGACGGGGCGGAGGUGCUCGACGGUGCGGGGUCCGAGGAGCUCCGACAUGCAGAGGCGCUUCAUGAAGCGCCAGUGGGUGUUGUAGGGGGCGAAGGCGAAGCCGGCGGAGCCGUAGGCGAACUGCCGGGCCACCGCCGUGAGCGGCCGCUCCGAGAUGCUCCCCUCGUGGCUGCGGAUCAGCUCGCUCGCCACCUCCGCGGUGCUCGCCACGACGCAGUGCGUGGACCCCAGGCGGAUGUGCAUCAGGGGCCCCACCCGGGCAGCCAGCUCCUGGAAGGUGCGGUGCACCGGCGGCCGGAGCAGGUGGAGGUGCCCGAUCACUGGGAGGCUAGUCGGGCCAGGGGGAAGACGACGGGAGGCUCGCCGGGAGAUGAGGUGCUGCAAGGACACGGCGGCGACGGCCGCAAUAAUGAGCGCCAGGACUACGGCGCCCAUUGGAUGCUCUUCCAUGCUCACCACCAGCAUGAUUUGUCCGUCCUUUGUGCUUUCAGCUGCUCACCAAGGAACUCAACUGCGCGUGAUCUGAUGGAGGUGCCUUAUUAUAGGACUACUGAGAGAGAGUUGUGGACCUGUAGUGCUCGAAACUAUUGUUGUAUAUUACUGUAUUGAUGAAGGUUGACAAAUAUCACCUGAAUUUUUUAGAAUUUCAGGAUGGGAUGAGAAAGAAUAAUUAAAUAAUAAUUUUCUUAUAAUUUUAAAAUUUUACAACAUUUAUUUUCUUGACAGAACACCGUCUGUGAUGCAAACCCAGGAGCCGAAGAUGAA
rnacentral:lncRNA from 1 species